UCGUCAUCGUAGGGUUAGUCGGGUCCUAAGCCGAGUCCGAAAGGGGUAGGCGAUGGCAAAUAGGUUAAUAUUCCUAUACCAACAUUAGUGUGCGAUGGAAGGACGCUUAGGGCUAAGCAAGCUAGCGGAUGGAAGUGCUAGUCUAAGGUCGUAGGAGGUUAUAUAGGCAAAUCCGUAUAACAAUACUCCGAGAACUGAAAGGCUCUUCAAAGUCUUCGGACAGCGAGGAGAAUUGCUGAUGCCGUCGAGCCAAGAAAAGUUUCUAAGUUUAGCUAAUGUUGCCCGUACCGUAAACCGACACAGGUGGGUGGGAUGAGUAUUCUAAGGCGCGUGGAAGAACUCUCUUUAAGGAACUCUGCAAAAUAGCACCGUAUCUUCGGUAUAAGGUGUGGUUCGCUUCGUAUUAGGAUUCACUCCGAAAGCGAAGAAACUUACAACAAAGAGUCCCUCCCGACUGUUUAC
rnacentral:rRNA from 1 species